CUGUAGUCUGGAAUCCUACGUGUACAAUUUACUGUAUAAUGUGCCGCUGCCGUUAAAUCCUUGAAGUUCUUCGUUCGAUGUUCGGUGUUAACCGCCAUUAAACCAUAAGUGCUUUAACAAGUUUUAACAACGCUUCGACAGACGAUCGAAUUCGCUUCGAGCAUAUCGCUAAAUUUGAACCGAGUGCUUUCUAUACCCAAAUAUCUAGUGGCCAGUCUCGCAGGCGAACCUCUGUUAUGUAUAUAUAGAUAAGCAAAGUAGCCAAUUCCCGGAACAGUUACCUGUGUCUCCUCACAAAGUGCAGUUUAUCACUGAGAUUAGGGUGCUUCUAAACAAGUAAAAAGUACCACAUUCGGGAAAGACUGAUAACAUGGUCUUAAAUUAUUACGACGGCGAAAUCAUGACUAGUAGCUUGACGCUUCCUGGUUCCGGUUUUUACCUUCUUCGCAGAGAAUAUUCUCUGCAUGAUGUACUAGAUUGGGACCGAACGGAGCCAUACCCAUAGUCGGACAACUUGCAAAGGAUAGUGGACAUUGUUAAAAGAUCAGUAAACGUAGAUGUUAUUAAUUCCGUGGAGGAUACUACAAACAACAAGAUGCUCACACCGCAGGAAGACUACUAAGAGACUCUCGUCUUCAAUAACGCUAUCAGGAAAAUGAUUUCUGAACCGUUUUGUACAAAUGUUUUCUAAUUACGAGCACUUCGUCAUACAGCCAAGUCAGCAUUGGAAGAUAAGCAUGAGUGGAUCAAUAACAGAGAUAGGAUGGACAGGAUACGUUUUCGACAAGACUACGUUUUUAUCCUACCAAUCUACGCAGCAUUUACUGUUCAUCUACUCGAGAUUCCUCAAGACGCAGAUGUUCGCCUCUCUCGUCGACAGUAAAGUGAUGUCGACGUGGAGCGAGCUCGAUUUCAACAUAAAGGUCUUCGUCCAAAGGAUUUCUCUUAUAAAGAAGAAAAUCAGGUGGAGCAUCAUACGAUCGAUGAGGUACGAGCCUUCCACGAGCAUGGCGGAUACGCAACAAGUACUGGAGCAAAGGUUAACGAACGUGGACUUCGAGACGAAUCCGCCCACGGAAAUUUUCCCACAUCGAGCGGCAUAUUUUCGGAGCUUUUCUCUGCUGGAUAGCGUCGUGUUGAAUAAAGAACCCGCUCAGAGUAUUCUCUGCAGUCGGAGGGGCCAGACGCAGUGGAAAUACAAGAUGAAAUCCAUGGACGCUAACGGAAAGCUCGCGACACCUUAGGAACCUGUCGCCUCGACCUCAGACUAAAUUCUCGCCAGACAUGAGUCCGGCUCUGAUAACUGGACGCAAGCCAAUUGGGCGUUCGUCGAAAAAUUGCUCAAAUAUGCAUUAUACCGUAUGAUAGAUAUUUGACGAUUAUCUCAGACGAUGCUUCUAAGACAUCUUUUCAUGUAGUUGUACUGUCUGGAUGUUACAUCGAAUAUCUUGGUUAUUUGUUAUAUAUAUUGUAAAUCUAUGACGAAGAGGAUGCUGGUAGAGGAAAUGGGGUCGGGAGCCACUUGCGCUGGGCCACUGCGGCGAAUCUCUGUCCGAUGUUGAGGAGGACACUAGUCGCUAGUCCCUGUGAUCUGCUGAAACGAGUGUGGAGCCAUGCUUCAUUUAAGGCAAUGAAGUAUAAAAACUUGACUGAAGAGUCGAAUCAAACCAUUUGACUGACACGUUACUUUGAAAAUGUGUGAAGAGUAUAUGCAUAUGUGUUUCUGAGUGAUUGUUGUAUGACGCAUGAUAUCUGGCAUCUGCAUCUACAUCAUUGUAAAAAUAUACAAUGAAUAUAACGAAAUGAAUAUGAUUGUGUUUGUUGAGCAGAAUAAUGUUUA